GUAGGUGGCAAGCGUUGUCCGGAAUUAUUGGGCGUAAAGCGCGCGCAGGCGGUUCUUUAAGUCUGAUGUGAAAGCCCACGGCUCAACCGUGGAGGGUCAUUGGAAACUGGAGAACUUGAGUACAGAAGAGGAAAGCGGAAUUCCACGUGUAGCGGUGAAAUGCGUAGAGAUGUGGAGGAACACCAGUGGCGAAGGCGGCUUUCUGGUCUGUAACUGACGCUGAGGCGCGAAAGCGUGGGGGAGCAAACAGGAUUAGAUACCCUGGUAGUCCACGCCGUAAACGAUGAGUGCUAAGUGUUAGGGGGUUUCCGCCCCUUAGUGCUGCAGCUAACGCAUUAAGCACUCCGCCCUGGGGAGUACGGCCGCAAGGCUG
rnacentral:rRNA from 1 species